rnacentral:rRNA from 1 species
CCAAUAGCGUAUAUUAAAGUUGUUGCAGUUAAAAAGCUCGUAGUUGAAUUUCGGGAUUGACACAUCGGUCGUGCCUUAAGGGGUAUGAACUGGUGUAGUCAGUUUCUCACCUUCUGGAGAACCGCGAUGUCCUUAAUUGGGUGCCGCGGGGAACCAGGACCUUUACUUUGAAAAAAUUAGAGUGUUUAAAGCAGGCAUUUUGCUUGAAUACAUUAGCAUG